GAUGAACGCUAGCGGGAGGCCUAACACAUGCAAGCCGAGCGGUAUUUGUUCUUCGGAACAGAGAGCGCGGCGCACGGGUGCGGAACACGUGUGCAACCUGCCUUUCUCUGGGUGUUAGCCUUUCUCAAGGAAGAUUAAUACCCCAUAAUAUAUUGAGUGGCAUCACUUGAUAUUGAAAACUCCGGUGGAUAGAGAUGGGCACGCGCAAGAUUAGAUAGUUGGUGAGGUAACGGCUCACCAAGUCAAUGAUCUUUAGGGGGCCUGAGAGGGUGAUCCCCCAGAGGGGUACUGAGACAAGGACCAGACACAUACGGGAGGCAGCAGUGAGGAAUAUAGAACAAGGGAUCAGCGCCUGAUCCAGCCAUCCCGCGUGAAGGACGACGGCCCGAUGGGUUGUAAACUUCUGGUGUAUAGGGAUAAACGUACGCGCGGGAGAGUAGCUGAAGGUAAUAUACGAAGAAGCACCGGCUAACUACGUG
rnacentral:rRNA from 1 species